GCCGCGGUAAUUCCAGCUCCAAUAGCGUAUACUAAAGUUGUUGCGGUUAAAAAGCUCGUAGUUGGAUCUUGGAAUGUGUUCAAGCGGGUCAGCUUCUGGCUGUGCGCUGCUUGACGUGUUCUUCUAUUUGGUUUUGGUGCGGUGCGCUUAACUGCGUGUCGCUCCCGGCCGAAACGUUUACCUUGAAAAAAUUAGAGUGUUCAAAGCAGACCUGUUUGAGUCUGAAUAUUCGUGCAUGGAAUAAUGAAAUAUGAAUUCGGUUCUAUUUUGUUGGUUUUCGGAACUCGAGUUAAUGAUCAAGAGGGACAGACGGGGGCAUUCGUACUCUGCCGUUAGAGGUGAAAUUCUUGGAUCGGCGGAAGACGCGCAACUGCGAAAGCAUUUGCCAAGAAUGUUUUCUUUAAUCAAGAACGAUAGUCGGAGGUUCGAAGACGAUCAGAUACCGUCCUAGUUUCGACUGUAAACUAUGCCAGCUAACGAUCAGACAGAGUUCUCUACGACUUGUCUGGCAGUUUCCGGGAAACCAAAGCGUUUGGGUUCCGGGGGAAGUAUGGUUGCAAAGCUGAAACUUAAAGGAAUUGACGGAAGGGCACCACCAGGAGUGGAGCCUGCGGCUUAAUUUGACUCAACACGGGGAAACUCACCCGGCCCGGACACAGUGAGGAUUGACAGAUUGAGAGUUCUUUCUUGAUUCUGUGGGUGGUGGUGCAUGGCCGUUCUUAGUUGGUGGAGCGAUUUGUCUGGUUAAUUCCGAUAACGAACGAGACUCUGGCAUGUUAAAUAGUCGCGGAAGUGCGUAUGCACUUGCCGAAUUGACUUCUUAGAGGGACUAGUGAUUUUAAUUCACACGAGAUUGAGCAAUAACAGGUCUGUG
rnacentral:rRNA from 1 species